AGAGUUUGAUCCUGGCUCAGGACGAACGCUGGCGGCGCGCUUAAUACAUGCAAGUCGAGCGAGAACCAGAGCUUCGGCUCUGGGGACAGCGGCGAACGGGUGAGUAACACGUGAGUAAUCUGCCCUCGGCACCGGGAUAGCCCGGGGAAACCCGGAUUAAUACCGGAUGGCCUCUCGAGCUUUCGGGCUCGUGAGAAAAGGUAGCUUCGGCCUCCGGCCGAGGAGGAGCUCGCGGCGGAUUAGCUUGUUGGUGAGGUAACGGCUCACCAAGGCGACGAUCCGUAGCUGGUCUGAGAGGACGAUCAGCCACACUGGGACUGAGACACGGCCCAGACUCCUACGGGAGGCAGCAGUAGGGAAUCUUGCGCAAUGGGCGAAAGCCUGACGCAGCGACGCCGCGUGCGGGAAGAAGGCCUUCGGGUUGUAAACCGCUUUCAGGAGGGACGAAGCCACUCGGGUUAAUAGCCCAGAGGGUGACGGUACCUCCAGAAGAAGCCUCGGCUAACUACGUGCCAGCAGCGGCGGUAAUAC
rnacentral:rRNA from 1 species